UUACGGCCAUAUUAGGUUGAAACACCGCUUCCCGUAUGAUCACCGAAGUUAACGUGAGCCAAGUCAUUACCUAGAUUGGUGACCGUUUCGGAAUACCAUGUGUUGUAAG